rnacentral:rRNA from 1 species
AGGAAUAUUGGUCAAUGGGCGAGAGCCUGAACCAGCCAAGUAGCGUGAAGGAUGACUGCCCUAUGGGUUGUAAACUUCUUUUAUAAAGGAAUAAAGUCGGGUAUGGAUACCCGUUUGCAUGUACUUUAUGAAUAAGGAUCGGCUAACUCCGUGCCAGCAGCCGCGGUAAUACGGAGGAUCCGAGCGUUAUCCGGAUUUAUUGGGUUUAAAGGGAGCGUAGAUGGAUGUUUAAGUCAGUUGUGAAAGUUUGCGGCUCAACCGUAAAAUUGCAGUUGAUACUGGAUAUCUUGAGUGCAGUUGAGGCAGGCGGAAUUCGUGGUGUAGCGGUGAAAUGCUUAGAUAUCACGAAGAACUCCGAUUGCGAAGGCAGCCUGCUAAGCUGCAACUGACAUUGAGGCUCGAAAGUGUGGGUAUCAAACAGGAUUAGAUACCCUGGUAGUCCACACGGUAAACGAUGAAUACUCGCUGUUUGCGAUAUACUGCAAGCGGCCAAGCGAAAGCGUUAAGUAUUCCACCUGGGGAGUACGCCGGCAACGGUGAAACUCAAAGGAAUUGACGGGGGCCCGCACAAGCGGAGGAACAUGUGGUUUAAUUCGAUGAUACGCGAGGAACCUUACCCGGGCUUAAAUUGCAGAUGAAUUACGGUGAAAGCCGUAAGCCGCAAGGCAUCUGUGAAGGUGCUGCAUGGUUGUCGUCAGCUCGUGCCGUGAGGUGUCGGCUUAAGUGCCAUAACGAGCGCAACCCUUGCUGUCAGUUACUAACAGGUUCCGCUGAGGACUCUGACAAGACUGCCAUCGUAAGAUGUGAGGAAGGUGGGGAUGACGUCAAAUCAGCACGGCCCUUACGUCCGGGGCUACACACGUGUUACAAUGGGGGGUACAGAGGGCCGCUACCACGCGAGUGGAUGCCAAUCCCCAAAACCUCUCUCAGUUCGGACUGGAGUCUGCAACCCGACUCCACGAAGCUGGAUUCGCUAGUAAUCGCGCAUCAGCCACGGCGCGGUGAAUACGUUCCCG